rnacentral:rRNA from 1 species
UACGUAGGGGGCAAGCGUUGUCCGGAAUCAUUGGGCGUAAAGCGCGUGUAGGCGGCUUGGUAAGUCUGCUCUGAAAGCCCGGGGCUCAACCCCGGGAGGCGGGUGGAUACUGCUGAGCUCGAGUCCGGAAGAGGCGAGUGGAAUUCCUGGUAUAGCGGUGAAAUGCGCAGAUAUCAGGAGGAACAUCAAUGGCGAAGGCAGCUCGCUGGGACGUGACUGACGCUGAGACGCGAAAGCGUGGGGAGCAAACAGG